rnacentral:rRNA from 1 species
UACAGAGGUCUCAAGCGUUGUUCGGAUUCAUUGGGCGUAAAGGGUGUGUAGGUGGCGCCGUAAGUCGGGUGUGAAAUUUCGGGAGCUUAACUCCGAAACUGCAUUCGAUACUGCGGUGCUUGAGGACUGGAGAGGAGACUGGAAUUCAUGGUGUAGCAGUGAAAUGCGUAGAGAUCAUGAGGAAGACCAGUGGCGAAGGCGGGUCUCUGGACAGUUCCUGACACUGAGACACGAAGGCCCAGGGGAGCAAACGGG